rnacentral:rRNA from 1 species
AAUCUUCCACAAUGGGCGAAAGCCUGAUGGACCAACGCCGCGUGAGUGAAGAAGGUUUUCGGAUCGUAUAAUUCUGUUCUAUGGGCAGAACAAGUACUGUAGUAACUAGUUGUACCUUGACGGUACCUUAUUAGAAAGCCACGGCUAACUACGUUCCAUCAGCCGCGGUAAUACGUAGGUGGCAAGCGUUGUCCGGAAUUAUUGGGCGUAAAGCGCGCGCAGGAGGUCCUUUAAGUCUGAUGUGAAAGCCCACGGCUCAACCGUGGAGGGUCAUUGGAAACUGGGGGACUUGAGUGCAGAAGAGGAAAGUGGAAUUCCAAGUGUAGCGGUGAAAUGCGUAGAGAUCUGGAGGAACACCAGUGGCGAAGGCGACUUUCUGGUCUGUAACUGACGCUCAUGCACGAAGGCGUGGGGAUCAAAC